rnacentral:lncRNA from 1 species
AGUUGCUUUGGCGUCUUAGGUGGGUCAGAACUUUUCUCUACUUCAGUUGUGUCUACCCUCCGCCAUUCAGCUGCUGCUGGAGUUUGUGGCAUCCCAUCAUUUGCAACACUUGGUGGAGACUUCAAAGGUUCAGAUUUAGCUGGGCUGUCAAGGUGAAUUCCAAAAAGCUUGCAUGAAUUGCCUUUCAUUUUCUGAGCGUCACCAUGAGCAAGAACCAAAGGUUGAGGCUUGAUCACGCGUGGCUGUGCAUCAUCCAUGCGAGAACCAGGUACCAUAUGGCCAAACCAUCCAGCUGAGUAUUGAUCGAUGCCACGGCCAGGCAGUGGAGUAUAAACUCCAUUCCCAAAU